rnacentral:rRNA from 1 species
GACGAACGCUGGCGGCGUGCUUAACACAUGCAAGUCGAACGGAAAGGCCCCUUCGGGGGUACUCGAGUGGCGAACGGGUGAGUAACACGUGAGUAACCUGCCCUCGACUUCGGGAUAACUUCAGGAAACUGGGGCUAAUGCCGGAUAGGAAUCCUUGCUGCAUGGUGGGGGUUGGAAAGCUUCGGCGGUUUUGGAUGGACUCGCGGCUUAUCAGCUUGUUGGUGGGGUAGUGGCUUACCAAGGCUUUGACGGGUAGCCGGCCUGAGAGGGCGACCGGCCACAUUGGGACUGAGAUACGGCCCAGACUCCUACGGGAGGCAGCAGUGGGGAAUAUUGCACAAUGGGCGGAAGCCUGAUGCAGCAACGCCGCGUGCGGGAUGACGGCCUUCGGGUUGUAAACCGCUUUCAGCAGGGGCGAAGCUUGUGGUGACGGUACCUGCAGAAGAAGCACCGGCUAACUACGUG